rnacentral:rRNA from 1 species
UACGGGGGGGGCAAGCGUUGUUCGGAAUUACUGGGCGUAAAGGGCUCGUAGGCGGCCUACUAAGUCAGAUGUGAAAUCCCCGGGCUUAACCUGGGAACUGCGUUUGAAACUGGAAGGCUUGAGUGUGGCAGAGGGGGGUGGAAUUCCACGUGUAGCAGUGAAAUGCGUAGAGAUGUGGAGGAACACCGAUGGCGAAGGCAGCCCCCUGGGCUAACACUGACGCUCAUGCACGAAAGCGUGGGGAGCAAACAGG